CCCUAAAUCAUAUUCCCAUCUCUCCCACGAAGCCACGAUCCGCCGCCACCAUCCAUGUGCUCGACAAAGGAUUCCUCAUCUGCUCCACCACAUUCAGGCGGCACCAUCGUCGGGGCGAGUCACCCACCUCCUCUCCUCCUCUCUCCCACCUCAACCGUGCACUAGUCGCCAACUUCUCCAAGCGCCGCUGCGACGAGCUCUUCCAGCCGCACCUCUGUUCCCUCCCACGACGGCCGUCCGACGAGGCGUGACGCGCUACCUACUACCUGUCUGGCGCGGAAGGCGGACGCUCGCGCCGCCGCCUGAGGACCGCAUCCUCGUCCUCCGCAGCCGGAACCGUGACGCCGAUAUCCUCAACUGCAUCGGAUCCUCAAUCGCUAGACUGGAACGCGUCGACUCGUGCGCCGACGUCGGCGACCGAUGGCGGCAGCACGAGCUCCCGUGCGAUGUCCUUCUCGACAUCGCCCCCCUGCAACGAGCUACCGCUCGCCUAUCCCCGUCGCCCCAUCUCCCCAAGCUCCAAGUCGUGGCCUCCACGCCCUCUCCCUCUCUGCUCUGUUUGUCUAUAAAUAUAUUUCUUCCGAUUCGAUUUUUUCCACAAUUCUCCCGAGCAUUUGAUAUAUGCAGGAGGCCAUUGCGGUGCUUGCUUUGUUGAUGUGUGGCUCUGUUGCCGGCGCGUCGUCAGCCAACAUCGUAGCCACCGGCGGCUAGAGAUCCUUACAUCACAGGAAGAAACAAUUGGGUGGAGCAAAGAACAUAAUCUGAAUGGUUUGCUGUCUGGAGAACAGGUAUUUCACCCUACUCUGUGAGGUUUUUUACUUUGGUCAACAUGUUCAUGACUGGAAUCGUGGUACCUUUAUCGCCGCGGACGAGCCAUCCUGCAGCUGCUCUACUCCCAGGUUCCACCUCUCCAUCAGAUUUCAUGAUCUUCAAGUGCUGUGAUUUUAGGGAUAUUAAUCUAGGCAUGUGCUCUAGAUCAAUUUCCAAUUUUUUUAGUUGUGAAUUGUGCUGUAAUAAAUUUAGAUCAUUUGUAAUUUUUUCUUGAGAAAAGUAUAUGAUGUAAUAUAUCAAUUAUAUACUCGGAGAGGAGCUUUUGUAAUUUCCUGGAUCUUUCAGAACAUCAUAUCGUUUAAUGAGAAACUAAUUCUAACAAUUCAAGCA